CUGCGCUGGGCACGGAGCGGCGCGCGCGCGCCCGUCUUUCCCUCGGCGGCCCCCGCGGCUCGGACCCGGGCCGGCAGACAGGCCAUCCAUCAUCCGCCCUCCUCCCGCGGAGCGCCGCAGCCGCCGCGGCCAAUCCGGCGGCAGGUGGGGCCGCACCUGCGCGACAGCCCGCCGCUUCCCUCCGCUCCCUUCGCCGCGCCUCGCGUGCUAGCGGUGCCCUUGUGAGCCACUGCGUUCUCCAAGGCCAGAACGGGACAGAUGGAGAAAUUGAGAUGAGAGCUCAUCCACAAGAUUACCCAUCAAUGAGCACCAAUAGCAACCAAAUCCACUAGAAGACUGGGAGCUUUUAAGUCAAGAAACUUACAUCAGUAUCAUCAUUCCAAGAAGCGGUAUCCAAGCUGUUUUAUCGAAAGUGCGCAUGGGAGAUAAGACUCUGAGAAUUUAUAGAAACAAACAUUAGAAGGCAGGAAUGUGGAGAGAAGAAAGCUACCUGACAAGGGAAUCUCAGGAUACAAGGAAAACACCAAGAAGACACCUGCCUGAGGGUCUUAUAGCUAAUGGACUGCAGAAGACUUGAGUCAUCAUUCAAAUUCAGUAGCCAUCCUCUGAUGUCCAGUUGAAGAUUGGUGAUUCCAGAAUAGCUCGCAUUGCCCCAGUUGACUUGCCACACAGCUUCUUUCAGGACUUGAAAAUGUCCUAGCCACCCCCAUCUUACCUCCUACUUCCAAUGCCUUUUAAGAUAGAAAACAAAAAACAAAACAACAAAAAAACACCAGCCACCCUUGUGGGUUAGAUAAUCCUACAUCAAGGUGAAUUCUUGAUAACCAGUUCUGUUCUUCCUUAUGUCUUGUAAACAUGCUAAUUAGAAGGAGCUUG
rnacentral:lncRNA from 1 species